GCCGGAUAAGCUUUUUGGAAGAUUAUUGAACUAUUGAAGCUUGUGAAAAGCUUUGCGACAUUACUCACUCUUAUCUUGGUCCUAAUGAUUAAGGGAAGAUGGAGAACUUGAAUUGAAACUUAAGUGACAAGUAAAGUGACAUUUUCCGCUCUUUAAGACCUUUUAAACAGCAGCAUCAAGUGAGUUUCACGCUCCUCCAAGGCCUUUAGUUUCCGAAUUUGUAGCGGUUGAGUUUAUAAAUUUGAUCAUCAUAUCGCAGAGUUUCAAGCUUCAACAUUUUCUUGGUUUUUUCCUGAUUAAAUAUUAGGCUCCAGAAAAGGAUACUAAGGAUAUGCCUUCAUUAAAACAGACUAAAUCUCGGGUCAGAAAGAAGAAGAAUUAAAGUUUAAAGAGCUAGCUCAUGCAUAUGAGGUCCUUAGUGAUCCUGAAAAACGGGAGAUCUAUGACCAAUAUGGUGAGGAUGCACUUAAGGAAGGAAUGGGUGGAGGUGGCAGCAUGCACGAUCCAUUCGACAUCUUCCGGUCCUUUUUUGGAGGAAGUCCAUUUGGUGGUGGUGGUAGUAGCCGAGGAAGAAGGCAAAGGCCGGGAGAGGAUGUAGUUCAUCCUCUGAAGGUAUCACUUGAAGAUCUCUUUACUGGGACGACAAAGAAGCUCUCCCUCUCUCGUAAUGUAAUAUGUUUGAAGUGUACUGGCAAAGUAUCAAAAUCUGGAGUUUCCAUGAAGUGUUCUGGAUGUCAAGGUACUGGUAUGAAGGUGUCUAUUAUUAGACAUCUGGGCCCCUCAAUGAGACAGCAAAUGCAGCACCCUUGCAAUGAAUGCAAAGGGACUGGAGAGACAAUUAAUGACAAAUAUCGGUGCCCUCAAUGCAAAGGUGAGAAGGUUGUGCAGGAGAAGAAGGUCUUAGAGGUUGUUGUGGAGAAGGGCAUGCAACAUGGACAGAAAAUUACUUUCCCUGGAGAGGCUGAUGAAGCUCCUGAUACUGUCACCGGAGAUAUCGUCUUUGUCCUGGAGCAGAAAGAUCGUCCUAAAUUCAAGAGAAAGGGCGAAUAUCUCUUUUAUGAGCAUACUCUGAGCCUGACUAAAGCUCUUUGUGGCUUUAGAUUUGUGCUGACCCACCUUGAUGGAAGGCAACUUCUUAUCAAAUAUUCAAAUCAAUUCAAGGCAAUUGAUGAUGAGGGUAUGUCAAUUUACCAGAGGCCAUUCAUGAAGGGCAAGAUGUACAUCUAUUUCACAGUGGAGUUCGCCGAUUCUUUUAACCCUGAUCAGGUUAAAGCAUUGGAAGCGAUCCUUCCACCUAAGCCAUCGAUGGCUCUCACUGUAGUUUUCUCCUUUGUACCGUGGGUGGAGUUUGAGGUUGAAUUCUGUUGAGUAUUUGUGUGAUAAAUGAAGAAUUUGGAGGAACCCCUCAGAUUUGAUAAUCUGUUGAGCAGGUGCAUCACAUCAAACAGAUGUAAGUCAGUGAGCUUCGAGCUUUUUCAUAAUCUUAUAUCAUAUGAUGAUAUGAAUGUUUUUGGGGAGAUUUCCUCAUUUGAUUUGUCUUUUGAGAUAUUGCAGAACAAUCUAAGCUCUUUCUCUGAAAGUUAUAAUAUAAAUUAUACAUCACAUGCUUGCCUAAAGAUAGUUAAUUCCAGUCAAAUCAUACAAGAUAGAAAACAUGAUAACAAAUUGUCGGCAGAGUAACAGUAUUGAAGAAUUUUAAUUUAGGAUGUGAUAAUUAUAAUUUAAGCAGUUCACAUUUUUAAUUAAUGAACUGUUUUUUGAGCUUACAAAAAAUUAUUGCUAUUAAAUUGAGAAUUGAAGGAAAAAGCUUAAAGUCUCUUCCAUACUUAAGACUGUUGUAGUUGCGAAUUUAAAUACUCUUGUCCAAAAUGCCCAGCUUGUUCAGGGUUAUGCAAUUGUUCUUGUCCCAAAUGCCCAACAUGUUCAGGAUUAUGCAAUUGCUUGUCUUAUUUGCUUUGCAUGUUAAGAAAUUCGCAAAUCUUGUUUCAGUUGCUUUACGUGAGAUUAUGAGAUGAGAGCUUCUCUGGCUCUCAAUUUAAAUGACCUUUUGGUGCUUCUCGAGGAGAAUCAUGAGUGCUCUUUCCAUAAUCGUCAGAACAAUGUCAAUUUUAAACGACCUUUUGGUUCUAUCAGGUGUUUGCGGUGGAAUAAAAACAUGGGUUAAUGUAAUUAUUUCUACGGAGCUUCCAUAUAUCUUAUAUUCUAUUGGUCUAGGCUUUCAGCUGUUACCUUGUUCUUAGUGAAGUUGGCAAACCAUCACUACAUUUCAAGAGACGGUUGCAGUCAACUGACAUUUUUGUGGAGCGGAAAAUUAUUCUAGAAGCUUCUGAUGGCCUAUAAAAGGCUCAAGUAUAUUCAUCUUCUCUGUUUUUCUACCCUAAAAUGGCCAUCGACAAUAAUUAUGACAGUAGUUUGUCAAUAUAAUUAGCCCUUGAAAAAUUACUGUUAUAUGCCUUGUCAUAUUGUUACUGGAAAGGUUAUAUUGAUAUUAACCUUAUAUGUUUUAGUUACUUUUUUGGGUUAGUUGAGUUUUGAUUUGUUUAAAAGAAUAAUUUAGAAUUUUGGGUUCAGAUUUUAGUACGAUAAGGGGUGUUAAGCAGCAAUGGUGAAGUCGGGGUCUCUGUCUUUCACCUUUUAGGGUUUAGGGUAUAGUAAGAUCAAGGGUUUAUGAUGGGUUUUGUUUUGGGUUUGUAGCUUGAAGACAAGGAGAUGCUUCUGCCCCAUUCUAAGGUUGAGUAUUACUUCUAUUACCACAAGAGGUCGGGUUUGGUUGGGUAGGCUAACUGGUUGUGGCUGGGAAGCUUGACAGAAGAUGGGUUUCUAAUAAGGAGAACUUGGAUUAGUAGCUACUUUGAUAUUAUAGGUUCGUGUCUGUUAUUUGUCUAUUUGCUCAUGGAUCAUGAUUACUUGGGGAUGCUUUUGAUAUUAUAGGUUCUUGUUUAUUAUUGGAGAUGCUUUUGUGUUGAUAAGCUAAGCUCCUUUUAUUUGCAUCUCUUUGAUAUUUGCAGUUUGCCUUGCAUUAUUCAUGGUCGACUAAGUUGGGUGUAUAGUGAGAUUUGUCAAAUAUUUGAGCAUUGCUUCGACCAAGUGGCAUCUUAAUUUGAACAAUGCCUGAAGCCAAUGCUACUGUCUAGAAGUUCAGAGAAGCUUUCCUAUGUGUGUUAUUAAUUUUUACAUUACCGGAAUUCAGACCUUAAAGAAAAUCAGGAAUGUUUGGCUUGUAACACAGGAAUUUCUUAUGUAUGUUUAUAUUAAUUAUGCAAAGCCAAACCACUGGAUUCCUUUCA